rnacentral:rRNA from 1 species
GACGAACGCUGGCGGCGUGCUUAACACAUACAAGUCGAACGGAAAGGCCCUGCUUUUGUGGGUUGCUCGAGUGGCGAACGGGUGAGUAACACGUGAGUAACCUGCCCUUGACUUUGGGAUAACUUCAGGAAACUGGGGCUAAUACCGGAUAGGAGCUCCUGCUGCAUGGUGGGGGUUGGAAAGUUUCGGCGGUUGGGGAUGGACUCGCGGCUUAUCAGCUUGUUGGUGGGGUAGUGGCUUACCAAGGCUUUGACGGGUAGCCGGCCUGAGAGGGUGACCGGCCACAUUGGGACUGAGAUACGGCCCAGACUCCUACGGGAGGCAGCAGUGGGGAAUAUUGCACAAUGGGCGGAAGCCUGAUGCAGCAACGCCGCGUGCGGGAUGACGGCCUUCGGGUUGUAAACCGCUUUCGCCUGUGACGAAGCGUGAGUGACGGUAAUGGGUAAAGAAGCACCGGCUAACUACGUG